rnacentral:lncRNA from 10 species
UUUGAGGACUGGGAACUGGGAGCUUUUGUUUUACAAACUUGAAUACCACUUUUUUUUUUUUUCCUUUUCCUUACCCACCUUUGCCACCGCCCCCCAUGACUUUAAAAUGCUUUUUUUUUUUUUUUUUUUGGAGACAGAGUUGCUCUGUCGCACAGGCUGGAAUUGGGCCAUUGCACUCUAGCCUUGGUAACAAGAGCGAGACUCUGUCUCAAAAAAAAAAAAAAAAUUGAUGAACAGAGAUAAAUCCAGAAAUGUAUGCUGAUUAUUAGGACAGAAGCAAUACAGCAGC